UACGUAGGGGGGCGAGCGUUGUCCGGAUUCAUUGGGCGUAAAGCGCUUUAAGGCGGUUCGCUAAGUCGGGUGUGAAACCUCCAGGCUCAACCUGGAGACGCCACUCGAUACUGGCGUGACUAGAGUUCGGUAGGGGACCACGGAAUUCCUGGUGUAGCGGUGAAAUGCGUAGAGAUCAGGAGGAACACCUGUGGUGUAGACAGCUUACUGGACGGUGACUGACGCUGAGGCACGAAAGCGUGGGUAGCAAACAGG
rnacentral:rRNA from 1 species